AGAGUUUGAUCCUGGCUCAGGAUGAACGCUGGCGGCGUGCUUAACACAUGCAAGUCGAACGGAGUUAUGUGAAACCUAGUGAUCAUAACUUAGUGGCGGACGGGUGAGUAACGCGUGGGUAACCUGCCGUAUGCAGGGGGACAACAGUUGGAAACGACUGCUAAUACCGCAUAAGCGCACGGGGUCGCAUGACCCUGUGUGAAAAGAUUUAUCGGCAUACGAUGGACCCGCGUCCGAUUAGCUGGUUGGUGAGGUAACGGCCCACCAAGGCGACGAUCGGUAGCCGGCCUGAGAGGGUGAACGGCCACAUUGGGACUGAGACACGGCCCAAACUCCUACGGGAGGCAGCAGUGGGGAAUAUUGCACAAUGGGGGAAACCCUGAUGCAGCGACGCCGCGUGAGUGAAGAAGUAUUUCGGUACGUAAAGCUCUAUCAGCAGGAAAGAAAAUGACGGUACCUGACUAAGAAGCCCCGGCUAACUACGUGCC
rnacentral:rRNA from 1 species